rnacentral:rRNA from 1 species
CGCAUCUGUGCAUGCAGCAUAUCAAUAAGCGGAGGAAAAGAAACUAACAAGGAUUCCCCUAGUAACGGCGAGUGAAGCGGUAAGAGCUCAAAUUUGAAAUCUUAAAGGGUUUCCCUUUACGAAUUGUAGUUUAAAGAAGUGUUUUCUGUUGAGGUUUUGGUAAAAGUUCUUUGGAAUAGGACAUCAUAGAGGGUGAGAAUCCCGUAUUUGACCUUUACUUUCAACUUUGUGAUACACUUUCAAAGAGUCGGAUUGUUUGGGAAUGCAGUCCAAAAUGGGUGGUAAAUUUCAUCUAAAGCUAAAUAUUGGCGAGAGACCGAUAGCGAACAAGUACCGUGAGGGAAAGAUGAAAAGAACUUUGAAAAGAGAGUUAAACAGUACGUGAAAUUGUCAAAAGGGAAGCGUUUGACACCAGUGUUGUUUUUCUGAAAAUCAAUUAAAGAACUGUUUAUGCUAAGUUGUUUAGACUUUAUCAGCUAACUGUUUAGUUUUGAGCUUUUCUUUAAUGCACUUUUCAGUUAACAAGUCAACAUCAAUUUCUUUUGCUGUAAAAAAGCUUGAGGAAGGUGGCUUGAGAUUCGUCUUAAGUGUUUAUAGCCUCUUGCCUAUGCAGUCGGAGAGAUUGAGGUCUGCAGCGUAGAUCCUUCGGGGCUAAAUGCAUUUGUGCUAAGUUAUAGCAUUUUAUAGACAACUUGUUGACUAUGACUUGUCUUGUAGCUUACUCGCUUAUGUUAUUUUACCUACGCUUAGGAUGUUGAGCGCAUGUCUCUCUCU